AGGACGAACGCUGGCGGCGUGCUUAACACAUGCAAGUCGAGCGGAAAGGCCCUUCGGGGUACUCGAGCGGCGAACGGGUGAGUAACACGUGAGUAAUCUGCCCCUAGCUCUGGGAUAGCUCCGGGAAACCGGGAUUAAUACCGGAUACGACCACUACGGACAUCUGUGGUGGUGGAAAGAACUUCGGCUAGGGAUGAGCUCGCGGCCUAUCAGCUUGUUGGUGGGGUAACGGCCUACCAAGGCGACGACGGGUAGCCGGCCUGAGAGGGCGACCGGCCACACUGGGACUGAGACACGGCCCAGACUCCUACGGGAGGCAGCAGUGGGGAAUAUUGCGCAAUGGGCGAAAGCCUGACGCAGCGACGCCGCGUGGGGAUGAAGGCCUUCGGGUUGUAAACCCCUUUCAGCAGGGACGAAGCGAAAGUGACGGUACCUGCAGAAGAAGCGCCGGCUAACUACGUGCCAGCAGCCGC
rnacentral:rRNA from 1 species